CUGGCGGCGUGCCUAAUACAUGCAAGUCGAACGGUCUUUCUAUGGAAGCUUGCCUCCACUGAGAAGAUAGUGGCGGACGGGUGAGUAACACGUGGGUAACCUGCCCAUAAGAGGGGGAUAACAUCCGGAAACGGGUGCUAAUACCGCAUAGUUUUCUUGAUCGCAUGAUUGAGAAAGGAAAGACGGCCUUUGUGCUGUCGCUUAUGGAUGGACCCGCGGCGUAUUAGUUAGUUGGUGAGGUAAUGGCUCACCAAGACGAUGAUACGUAGCCGACCUGAGAGGGUGAUCGGCCACAUUGGGACUGAGACACGGCCCAAACUCCUACGGGAGGCAGCAGUAGGGAAUCUUCCGCAAUGGACGAAAGUCUGACGGAGCAACGCCGCGUGAGUGAAGAAGGUUUUCGGAAUCGUAAAACUCUGUUGUCAGAGAAGAACAAGUUGGAGAGUAACUGCUCCAGCCUUGACGGUAUCUGACCAGAAAGCCACGGCUAACUACGUGCCAGCAGCAGC
rnacentral:rRNA from 1 species